rnacentral:rRNA from 1 species
GAUGAACGCUAGCGGCAGGCUUAAUACAUGCAAGUCGAGGGGUAGCAAGAUUGUAGCAAUACAAUUGUUGACGACCGGCAAACGGGUGCGGAACACGUACACAACCUUCCUACAAGUGGGGAAUAGCCCAGAGAAAUUUGGAUUAACACCCCGUAACAUAGCGAUGUGGCAUCACAUUGCUAUUAUAGCUUCGGCGCUUGUUGAUGGGUGUGCGGCUGAUUAGAUAGUUGGCGGGGUAACGGCCCACCAAGUCUACGAUCAGUAGCUGAUGUGAGAGCAUGAUCAGCCACACGGGCACUGAGACACGGGCCCGACUACUACGGGAGGCAGCAGUAAGGAAUAUUGGACAAUGGACGCAAGUCUGAUCCAGCCAUGCCGCGUGAAGGAUUAAGGUCCUCUGGAUUGUAAACUUCUUUUAUAAGGGACGAAAAAAGGUCUUUCUAGAUCGUCUGACGGUACCUUAUGAAUAAGCACCGGCUAACUCCGUGCCAGCCGCCGCUGUAACAC